rnacentral:lncRNA from 1 species
CUCAGUUUCCCCAAAUAAAAUACCCACAGUCAUCUUUCUGAAAUAGAGCUCUGCCCCAGGAUAAACAUGUCACUCUUCCUCCUUUUCCUGUCUAAUGUGCUUGUAUCUUGCUUUUCUUUGUGGUCUCCUCCUUACAUGUUCCAAGCCCUACCCAGAUCUCUGCUCAAAGUCUUAUUUCAAUGGAAAAGCUUUCUCUUUGGGACUACAUUUUACAUCAAAGGAGAAUUACCCCUGAAUGGAAAGAGUUGCUCCAUACAGUAUGGAAACCAGAAUUAAGGAUUUGGAUGCUCUUCAAUAAAACACUCUCAAGUAAUGCUCUAUAAUCCAGGUCCAGGCCAGAGGAUGUC